AUGUGCCCAGAUGGGAUUAGCUAGUUGGUGAGGUAACGGCUCACCAAGGCGACGAUCCCUAGCUGGUCUGAGAGGAUGACCAGCCACACUGGAACUGAGACACGGUCCAGACUCCUACGGGAGGCAGCAGUGGGGAAUAUUGCACAAUGGGCGCAAGCCUGAUGCAGCCAUGCCGCGUGUAUGAAGAAGGCCUUCGGGUUGUAAAGUACUUUCAGCGGGGAGGAAGGUGUUGUGGUUAAUAACCACAGCAAUUGACGUUACCCGCAGAAGAAGCACCGGCUAACUCCGUGCCAGCAGCCGCGGUAAUACGGAGGGUGCAAGCGUUAAUCGGAAUUACUGGGCGUAAAGCGCACGCAGGCGGUCUGUCAAGUCGGAUGUGAAAUCCCCGGGCUCAACCUGGGAACUGCAUUCGAAACUGGCAGGCUUGAGUCUUGUAGAGGGGGGUAGAAUUCCAGGUGUAGCGGUGAAAUGCGUAGAGAUCUGGAGGAAUACCGGCGGCGAAGGCGGGCCCCUGGACAAAGACUGACGCGCAGGUGCGAAAGCGUGGGGAGCAUACAGGAUUAGAUACGCGGGUAGGCCACGCCGUAAACGAUGUCAAAUUCGAGGUUGUGCCCUUGAGGCGUGGCUUCCGGAGCUAACGCGAUAAGUAGACCGCCUGGGGAGUACGGCCGCAAGGGUAAAACUCAAAUGAAUUGAAGGGGGCCCGCGCAAGCCGUGGAGCAUGUGGUUUAAUUCGAUGCAACGCGAAGAACCUUACCUGGUCUUGACAUCCACAUAACUUUCCAGGGAUGGAUUGGAUCCAUCGGUAACUGUGAGAAAGUGGCUGCAUGGCUGUCGUCAGCUCGUGUUGUGAAAUGUUGGGUUAAGUCCCGCAACGGGCGCAACCCUUAUCCUUUGUUGCCAGCGAUUUGGUCGGGAACUCAAAGGAGACUGCCAGUGAUAAACCGGAGGAAGGUGGGGAUGACGUCAAGUCAUCAUGGCCCUUACGACCAGGGCUACACACGUGCUACAAUGGCGCAUAC
rnacentral:rRNA from 1 species